AUAGUUACGAUCAAGCACGUAAAACGCAAACUUUAGCAAUUUUUGUAAAAGUUAUAUCUCUUUUCAUUGGGUAUCAAAUAAGAAAACUAGAUGGCGUUGUUGUUCCCCUGUAAUGGCUGAUUGCUUGUAACUACUUAAAUUGAUGUCUAUUUAUUUUCUAUACUGUGUGUCUUUCUAAGGAAUAUUCAUCUAAAAAUUAACGGUUUUCAUCUAGUUAGUGUGACCAGACAUUGAUCUUCAAUGUUUCUUGUGAACCAUUCUCUCUAAUUUGCUUGCCAAAAAAUUUUGCUUUAGCACCACUGCCUCACCGGGAACCAUGAGUGGGAGCAUGACUAGUUCAUACAUCGCGUCAUUAUUCCAAAGGCCUAUUCGUGUUCCAACCAACCGUCGCCUUCAUCUUCGUAACUGAGCUGACAAACAUUUACAUAACUGAACGUCAUCGCUUCAUCAUAGUAUUAUAGAUGGUUAUCUUACGUAUAAUUGAUUACCAACGAUAAACAAAUCAAUCCGGAUCUUUACCUUUUCUUCUGCAUCCUCAAGUCCUCAUCUUCACCUCAUCGUCUUUAAGCUGAUCGUCUUUCCCUCACCGUCUUCAAGCCGACCAUCUUCCCCUCACCGUCUUCAAGCCGACCAUCUUCCCCUCGCCGUCUUCAAACUGGUCAUCUUCACCUCACCGUCUUCAAGCUGGUCAUCUUCACCUCACCGUCUUCAAGCUGGUCAUCUUCCCCUCACCGUCUUCAAGCUGGUCAUCUUCCCCUCACCGUCUUCAAGCUGGUCGUCUUCGCUUCACCCUCUUCAAGCUUAUCGUCUUCGCCUCACUCUCUUCAAGCUGUUCGUCUUCGCCUCAAGGUUUUCGCCUGGUCUUCUCCAUCUCAUCGCCGUCGUCGUGGAACUUCACGUUUUUGGUAUUUUGUUUUGUUUUGUUUUGUUUUGUUUUGUAUUGUUGUAUAGUGUGUAUGGUACAAGUUAACCCGUUGGCUGCCACUCAUUUUGCUCCCCUUUUUUUUUUAGCUUGUAGGGACCGGCGGCGCUGUUCUGCCCCAUGGUUGAUCACCCAUGGGGUGGGGCAGUCGCCUUGCGCCUUAGGGCGCGGUAGGCAAUGCACCAGUAGGGACUUCCCCUUGUCGAUGCGAUGGUGGAGUACCUGGGGUGUGCAUUCCCGUGAAGGUCUCCAUCGUCAAGUCAGCCCGGACUUGUCUUCGGACAAGUCCCCCUUUCAUCGGAUCCCUCUGAAACGAUGCGUAGCGACUGUAG